rnacentral:lncRNA from 1 species
CUGGGCAGGUGGCACAUGCCUGUAAUCCCAGCAUUCAAGAGGCCGAAGCAGGAGGAUCACCAUGAGUUUGAGGCCAGUGUGGACUAUAUAGCGAGUUCAAGGCCAGCCUGCACUACAAAGCGAGACCCUGUCUCAAAAAAUAAAAUAAAGGUAGAUAAAUAAAUUACCUGUCCCUCCAUACAUACAUACAUACAUACAUACACCUAAGCUACAACAUAGAAGAGAGGAAAGAUAGUCUCAAUAAACCUUCCUCUGGAAGAGAGAAAAAUGACAGGCACAGAGCAGUCACUGCUCCAUAACAAUGCUGCUCAAAUGAACUCUUGUUCCUCCGGGGAUAAAGAGGUCUUUAGUCUGCACUGUAGAAUUAGCUCCCCACCCUUCAGCAAUUUAGCAAGACCUUAUCUCAGUGCUGGGGAUUUAGCUCUGGACCUUGUGCUUGCCAGGCAGGCAGCAGCACCACUGAGCUAAAUCUCCGGCAUGAGUUUUUUUUGUUUUUGGGGGCUUUUUUGGUACCGGGGAUCAAACUCAGGUCCUUGCACUUGCACAGCAGGCGGUGAAACCGCUGAGCUAAAUCCCCAGCCCCUGGCAUGAGUAUAUUUUUUAAAAGGUGAGUAAUGCUAACCAACUCAUGGUACUCACAUUCUGUCUUGAAACCUUUUCACCCACCAUACUUUCUUUAAGUGCAAGUUAUUGCAGGCAAUGAUUUUAACAAAUGUUUUGUCAUCAUAUAAUGGGUUGACAACUUACCAGCCUCUCUAUGUGUUGUUCACUGGGCAUUGGCUUUUAAACCAAUCUCACAAGGGCUGGGGAUUUAGCUCAGUGGUUCUGCUGCCUGCCUCGCAAGCACAAGGACCCGAGUUCAAUCCCCGGUACCAAAAAAAAAAUAGUCUCACAUAUUUUUCAGGUUUUGUUAUCACCCACUACCACCCACCCACUAUCACCCACUAUUGGUACCAGCUUCAAUAUACUUUGCUCUAGUGACAAGCCUAAGAUGUCAGUGGCUCACAACAACAAACAUAUCUUUCUCAUGUAUAGACCUGUGCACUGCUUGUUCUACAUGUCUUAUCCUGGGCUCUAAGCUCUAGAUUGGGCUGAUGGCGUAGACUAUUUGUUCUUGUAGUGAAAACUACAGUAGCAAGAGACUCACUCAUACAAAUGAGUUUACAGCUGCUGCUCAGAUGUGCUAUGACUCACAACUCACAUAUGAUUGGCCAAAGCAACUCACAUGGACUGGCCGGACACUGGUGAAGAAGAAGAAGGCAAGCCUGUGUUAUACUGUACUGGCUUGGGUUUUCCAGAGGGACUUCAUGUAUAUGUAACUAUGCUAGGGGCUUUAUUGGAUAAGCUUACUGGACCAGAGCUGGGAGAGUCUACAGUGGCUGUCUGAAUGCUGGAGAGUCAGAGGACCCAGGAGCUGCUCAAAGCUAUGGAACAAGAGGGAUCAAGGAUGCUGAGCCAGACUAAGACUAAAGGCUUCACAGCUCCCCGACAGCUUCCAC